CCCGCGUAAUUUAGGCAUAUUAUAAGCGGAGGAAAAGAAACCAACGGGGAUUCCCAUAGUAACUGCGAGUGAAAGGGGAAAAGCCCAGCGCCGAAUCCCGCUGCUGGUGACGGCGGCGGGAACUGUGGCGUGAAGAUGGUGUUUAUCGGUGUGGCUCGCUGGCGUAAGUUCUCCUGAGUGAGGCUCCAUCCCAUGGAGGGUGCAAGGCCCGUGUCGCUAGCAGCUGUCACCGAUGUGCGCUAUCAGAGAGUCGCCUUGUUUGCGAGUACAAGGUGAAGUCGGUGGUAAACUCCAUCGAAGGCUAAAUAUGACCACGAGUCCGAUAGCGAACAAGUACCGUGAGGGAAAAUUGAAAAGCACUUUGAAGAGAGAGCGAAACAGUGCGUGAAACCGCUCAGAGGCAAGCAGAUGGGGCCUCGAAGGCUAAGCCGCGAAUUCAGCUGGUGGUCCGUGCGGCGGGCGGGGUGUGAGAUCGAAAGACUCUUCCUUGUCUGUGACUGUUGCGGCCGCUGGUGCACUUUCGCGGUUUGUACGCCACCGCCGUUAGGGAGCAUCCGUCGGUCCGGCAUGUGGCGCCUAGCUGCCUUCACGGGUAGCUGGUGCGCACGGCUGGUGCUGUACGCGUUUGCGCUUUAACCGGUCAUGUCAGCGUGUGCCAGCGUUUGCGCUGGGUUUGCCGUGCUCCGGCCGGGCGUGUUGGGAUGACGAGCUUGCUCGGCUCUCUCGCGUCUGGUGGAAUCGCGGUGGCUUUCAGCGUGGCAUAUUGCGGAUUCGGUGGCGARUAACGGCUGCCCAUCUAACCCGUCUUGAACACG
rnacentral:rRNA from 1 species